rnacentral:rRNA from 1 species
GCAUCGAUGAAGAACGCAGCGAAAUGCGAUAAGUAAUGUGAAUUGCAGAAUUCAGUGAAUCAUCGAAUCUUUGAACGCACAUUGCGCCCAUUAGUAUUCUAGUGGGCAUGCCUGUUCGAGCGUCAUUUCAACCCCUAAGCACAGCUUAUUGUUGGGCGUCUACGUCUGUAGUGCCUCAAAGACAUUGGCGGAGCGGCAGCAGUCCUCUGAGCGUAGUAAUUCUUUAUCUCGCUUCUGUUAGGCGCUGCCCCCCCGGCCGUAAAACCCCCAAUUUUUUCUGGUUGACCUCGGAUCAGGUAGGAAUACCCGCUGAACUUAAGCAUAUCAAUAAGCGGAGGAA